GAUCUCCUAGCUCAGCGGUAGAGCGUCGGAUUCCAGUCAUUGUAUCCCGAAGGUCAUCCGUUCAAUCCGGGUGGAGAUCA